rnacentral:rRNA from 1 species
UACGAAGGGGGCUAGCGUUGCUCGGAAUCACUGGGCGUAAAGCGCACGUAGGCGGCUUUCUAAGUCAGGGGUGAAAUCCUGGAGCUCAACUCCAGAACUGCCUUUGAUACUGGAGAGCUUGAGUCCGGAAGAGGUGAGUGGAACUCCGAGUGUAGAGGUGAAAUUCGUAGAUAUUCGGAAGAACACCAGUGGCGAAGGCGGCUCACUGGUCCGGUACUGACGCUGAUGUGCGAAAGCGUGGGAAGCAAACAGG